rnacentral:rRNA from 1 species
ACUCGGUGUGCACCUGCCCUUCCGUCCCUUUUGUCGACGGCGUGCUCCUGGCCUUAAUUGGCUGGGUCGCGGCUCCCGCGCUGUUACUUUGAAAAAAUUAGAGUGCUCAAAGCAAGCUUAUGCUCUGAAUACAUUAGCAUGGAAUAACGUGAUAGGAGUCUGGUCCUAUUGUGUUGGCCUUCGGGACCGGAGUAAUGAUUAAUAGGGACUGUCGGGGCAUUCGUAUUUCAUUGUCAGAGGUGAAAUUCUUGGAUUUAUGAAAGACGGACCACUGCGAAAGCAUUUGCCAAGGAUGUUUUCAUUAAUCAAGAACGAAAGUUGGGGGCUCGAAGACGAUCAGAUACCGUCCUAGUCUCAACCAUAAACGAUGCCGACCAGGGAUUGGCGGAUGUUGCUCUAAGGACUCCGCCAGCACCUUCUGAGAAAUCAGAGUGUUUGGGUUCCGGGGGGAGUAUGGUCGCAAGGCUGAAACUUAAAGGAAUUGACGGAAGGGCCCCACCAGGAGUGGAGCCUGCGGCUUAAUUUGACUCAACACGGGGAAACUUACCAGGUCCAGACAUAGUAAGGAUUGACAGAUUGAGAGCUCUUUCUUGAUUCUAUGGGUGGUGGUGCAUGGCCAUUCUUAGUUGGUGGAGCGAUUUGUCUGGUUAAUUCACAUAACGAACGAGACCUCAACCUGCUAACUAGCUACGCGGAGGUUCCCCUUCGCGGCCAACUUCUUAGAGGGACUAUGGCCAUUUAGGCCAUGGACGUUUGAGGCAAUAACAGGCCUGUGAUGCCCUUAGAUGUUCUGGGCCGCAUGCGCGCUACACUGAUGCAGCCAAUGAGCUUUUCUUCCUGGUUCGAGAGGAUCAGGAAAUCUUCUCAAAUUGCAUCAUGAUGGGGAUAGACCAUUGCAAUUAUUGGUCUUCAACGAGGAAUUCCUCGUAAGCACGUGUCAUCAACUCGCGUUGACUACGUCCCUGCCCUUUGUACACACCGCCCGUCGCUCCUACCGAUUGAAUGAUAUGGUGAAGUGUUCAGAUUGCGUCAAUGAUGGUGGUUCGCCGCCAUCGACGUCGUGAGAAGUUCAUUGAACCUUAUCAUUUAGAGGAAGGAGAAGCCGUAACAAGGUUACCGUAGGUGAACCUGCGGUAG